rnacentral:rRNA from 1 species
AUUGAACGCUGGCGGCAUGCCUAACACAUGCAAGUCGAACGGCAGCGCGGGUAGCUUGCUACCUGGCGGCGAGUGGCGGGCGGGUGAGUAAUGCAUAGGAAUCUGCCCAGUAGCGGGGGAUAGCCCGGGGAAACCCGGAUUAAUACCGCAUACGCCCUACGGGGAAAGCAGGGGAUCUUCGGACCUUGCACUAUUGGAUGAGCCUAUGUCUGAUUAGCUUGUUGGUGGGGUAACGGCCUACCAAGGCGACGAUCAGUAGCUGGUCUGAGAGGACGAUCAGCCACACCGGAACUGAGACACGGUCCGGACUCCUACGGGAGGCAGCAGAGGGGAAUAUUGGACAAUGGGGGAAACCCGUGAUCCAGCAAUGCCGCGUGUGUGAAGAAGGCCUGCGGGUUGUAAAGCACUUUCAGUUGGGAAGAAACAGCAGCCGGCUAAUAUCCGGUUGUCUUGACGUAACCAACAGAAGAAGCACCGGCUAACUCCGUGCCAGCAGCCG